GUUUUUUUAGUUGAAUUUUUAACAACGCUAGCUUUUCGAGCUAUUGGUCCAGGAGAAAAGCCUGGAAAGAACU
rnacentral:tRNA from 1 species